UUUGGAGCAGGUGAUCCUUGGACGCCCACAGUACAUCACCUUCAUGAGCGCAUCAGUGAACACCAGUCUAAGGAAGACAUCUCUGAACGUAAUUUUGGAGAUUUUGAUGAGUUCCAUUGAAACAAGGAGGAAUGUGAUGUCCAGUAUCAGUUCUGCAGACCCAAGGACAAAGAAAAUUCUGUGAUAAACUCAUCCAGUGUGACUGUAAUGUGGGUAUCUAUUUGAUACCUCCAAGUAACUGUUUAUUCUUGUGCCAGUUGAGUAGAUGGUACGGGCCAGUUGGUGUUGAUUAGUGAACCACGGACAAAGGGCAUAUGUCACAUGAGUUGCUCCUGGAUAAAGUCACCCAGUCACUUCCUGAUGAAUAUCCUGCAUAAACUCCAAAGACAAAAGAGAGUUAAGGUUGUUUUUCUCACCUUAGACCAGGCAGUGAUAGAAGAACUGGGGGAAGAGAUAAUUGUAUUUAUCUUGGUGAGGGUGACAAAUCAUGGCAAAUGAGCAAAAUGAAAAAGGUUUGCAGAUUUCAACAAACUUCUAAAAGAUCAGCUUACAGUCAUGUAUACAUCUCUUCCUUUGUUUCUAGUUUAUUUGCAUCUCAUUACUAUGUUCUCGGUUUAGGAUACAAGACACCGGACUUUCAAAUCAACAAUUGUUUCAAAAGACUCCUACUGGAUUCCUGCUAGUGAUGGGAGAAAAUUAUCAUUCUGCUAGUUAAUCUGUAGCCAGAGAUGAUUAAGGAGGUCAUUAAAGGAAAACAAGCUGCCCACCAUGCUGAUGCCUGGUUGUUCAGAUCGUUGAGGUGGUGUAGAGAUGACGCACACUGGCUCAGUUUACCCACAUUUGGAUCUACGGACCUGCAAGUGGGUCCCAUCCUCCUAACUCGGCCCUCCUUAAUCUCAAGCCUGCAACUCUAGCACGUAGGAAGGAAGCAGCACACCGUCUCUGGUGACUGCAACAGAGGCCUGAGCCCCACCCACACCCUCCUGCAGGGUUGGACAUUGGCAAAUCCAGCCAUUGAUAUCAAAGCAAAAGGCUCAUUCAUUUACUUGCAUUUGUGGUUGGGAGCAUUUCCCGAAGAGAGGUGGGGAAUUGGUGAUGGGAAAGCACAAGUCAGGCUGGAUGCCCGGCCCUGGGCACUCUCAUGCCUCUUCUGGAGCCCUUCAGUUUGGAUCAUCGCCCUUUCCCACAUGCCACAUUGUUUGUCCACCCUGAUAGCCUCUGUCAUGACACACCAGCCCUGGGAUAUCACAUAAGCUACAGGUCAGACGCUGCUUUCCAGACAGAAUUAUGGAGAAGACAACCAUCAUUUUGAUGAAAAGAAUAUGUCUAAGAUCCUGUUAACAGCAGAACUUAGACUGCUAGCCCUGCUGGAAAUUUUCCAUGCUCUUCAUUCGUUCUCCUGUAUUUCCUAACGCCAAUAAAAGAGGAGAUCCCUGAG
rnacentral:lncRNA from 1 species